CAGACCCAUACGCCUCCUGCUGCUCCUUUCUCCAGUUCGUCUUCCUCCUCUGGAUCGAGACCUUGGAGCCUGCUCCAUGGACCUGUCCAUGGAAACGGAGGGCGAUUCCGAACAGAGAGUCCCAGGCUUCUAUCAGCGUCGCCGAGGCUGACAUUCGCCGUGCAGGGGACCUCCGUAGCGGUGGCGGAGAUGCCGGAUUUCUUGGCGAGGACCCGCUCUUGCAAGUUUGUUCGGAGGCUACGAGCGGAUGGACACGCAGGGUAAGGAUCAGAAAGGCCCCCGCUGAGCGCGAGCUCAACCCUAACCGGAAAAGUGCCCUUGAAUUGUCCAUGAGGGCUUUCAUAUUGAAAAGAGAUGGCAAUGUUGUCAACCCAGCUGUCGGGACCUCUUUUGAUUCAUUGGAUGAAGCCUAUCAGUUCUACAAUUUGUAUUCGUGGGAGCUUGGAUUUGGUAUAAGGUAUUCGAAAAGCAGGCUAAAUGUGGAGCGGGUGAAGUGCAUGCAUGAGAUAGUCUGUGGAUGUGCGGGUAAACCGGAGAGGGAGAAUACAAGAUCAACACGGUGCGGUUGUGCUGCCCGGAUCAGGCUGCUUCGGUCGGACGACAAUGGAUGGUAUAUUUCAUAGCACCGGGCGGCACACAACCACUCUUUGUCAAGCACUUGUGGUGAGAAAAUGCAUUGGCCGUCGCACAGGCUCAUUGACCGGUAUACUAAGGAUCUUGUUAGGCAGCUUAGAGAGAACAAUGUCAGUCUUGGAAAGGUUUUUAGCAUAGUUGGUAGUUUUUUUGGAUCAGUUGAUAAUGUGCCAUUUACAAAACGGUCACUAAAGACGCUGUGUUGCAAGUUGAACAAGGAGCAGUCUGAUUCAGAUGCCCGGAAAACAAUGGACAUACUUGCGGAGAUGAAAGCAAACGAUCCAGAAUUCAACUAUACUGUCCAGGUUGAUGACGAGAGCAGGAUUAAGACACUUAUGUGGGUUAACGGGCGUAGUGUGGACCAGUAUAGGUGUUUCGGAGAUGUUGUAACAUUUGAUACCACAUACAGGACAAACCUAUAUGACAUGCCAUUCGGUCUGUUUGUAGGAGUGAACAAUCACUUCCAGAGCAUAAUUUUCGGAGGUGUCAUGCUGAGGGAUGAGAAGGAGGACACAUUCAAGUGGGUUUUCUGUGAAUUCAUCAGGAUGGUCGGGGGUAAACACCCGCAAACAAUAUUAACAGGCGCGGUCAAUGGAAUUGGCUAUAGAAACAGAGAUGCCCAAUACAACGCAUAGGUGGUGUAAAUGGCAUGUGCUGAAGAAAGCAAAGGAGUCAAUGGGGGUUUUGUGGAGCAAGAAAACUGAUUUCACAAGUGAAUUUCAUAAGCUAGUUCAUCACAUGGUCACGGAGCAAGAGUUCGAGGAUGGAUGGUCUGCAAUGCUCAUUGUAUCUUGAUUAAUAACUCUUGCUGAUCCCUCCGCAGCAAAAUGAUUAUCCAUUCCGACAAACACCAUGAACUACAGAACCUAAUGGCAGGCAAACUAGUGAGAUUUAGGAAGAACUGCUAAAUUGCUACUGAAAAG